GUAUGAAGUAAGGCCUUCGGGUUGUAAAGUACUUUCAGCAGUGAGGAAGGUGGAUUAUGUUAAUAGCAUAUUCAUUUGACGUUAGCUGCAGAAGAAGCACCCGGCUAACUCCGUGCCAGCAGCCGCGGUAAUACGGAGGGUGCGAGCGUUAAAUCGGAAUUACUGGGCGUAAAAGCGCAUGCAGGUGGUUUGUUAAGUCAGAUGUGAAAGCCCGGGGCUCAACCUCGGAAUUGCAUUUGAAAACUGGCAAACUAGAGUACUGUAGAGGGGGUAGAAUUUCAGGUGUAGCGGUGAAAUGCGUAGAGAUCUGAAGGAAUACCGGUGGCGAAGGCGGCCCCCCUGGACAGAUACUGACACUCAGAUGCGAAAGCGUGGGGAGCAAACAGGAUUAUAUACCCUGGUAG
rnacentral:rRNA from 1 species